rnacentral:rRNA from 1 species
UACAGAGGUCUCAAGCGUUGUUCGGAUUCAUUGGGCGUAAAGGGUGCGUAGGCGGCGCGGUAAGUCGGGUGUGAAAGCCUUGAGCUUAACUCAAGAAAUGCACUCGAUACUUGGUGACUAGAGGACCGGAGAGGAUAGUGGAAUUCCCAGUGUAGUGGUGAAAUACGUAGAGAUUGGGAAGAACACCAGUGGCGAAGGCGGCUAUCUGGACGGUUUCUGACGCUAAGACGCGAAAGCGUGGGGAGCAAACAGG